rnacentral:tRNA from 3 species
GUGGUUAUGUCAGAAUAUUAUGAGUUAGCUUUAAGCGCUAGUUAUGGGGUUAUCCCCUAAUCACU